CUUGUUUUCUAGUCGUUGCGACAAUGUUCAGUUGUAUAUCGGCCCGUUGUGGAGGACUGCGGAGUUUUAGUUCAACAGCCACCACAGACGAAACAUAAAGCUUUAAUCAUGGUGAAUGUAAAGAAACGGAAAGGUCGAGUCGUUAUCGACUCUGACUCUGAAGACAGUGCCAGUGAUGAUAAUUUAGAUCAAGAGCUUCUGUCUCUGGCCACCAAGAGGAAGAGGGUGGACUCGGAUGACCAGCAGGAUAACCAACAGGAUGACCAGCCAGUCAGUAAGCCUGCAGCCUCAUCAGACUCUGAGACAUCAGACAGCGACGAUGAGUGGACCGCCGGUGGUCCUAAAGUCAAGAAGAAAGUUAAGCCAGGGAAACCGACAACAACAGAGAAGAAGAAAGAGGCGGCGAAGAAGAGGGUCCAUAAAGCUGCAUCGUCCGGUAGUUCUGGUGGAGACAGUUCAGCUGACAGUUCUGCCCCCGAGGAGGGUGAGGUGUCUGACUCCGAGAGCAACAGCUCUGCCUCCAGCUCAGAAUCCUCAUCGGAGGACGAUGUUUUCAGGGACGAAUACGGAGAGGACCUGAUGGGAGACGAGAAGGACAGGGCUCGUCUGGAGCAGAUGACGGAGAAGGAGAGGGAGCAGGAGCUCUUCAAUAGGAUAGAGAAGAGGGAGGUGCUCAAGAGGAGAUUUGAAAUUAAAAAGAAACUGAAGACGGCGAAGAAGAAGGAGAAAGAGGAGAAGAAAAAGAAGGACGAGGAAGAACGGAAGAAGCGAGAGCGAUCAUCCGGUCAUCAUGAAGACCGGGCUCAUCAGGACCUGCAGGUGGUUAUGUCCCACAACAAGGAGCGGAGAACUAAACGGGAUGAGAAGCUGGAUAAAAAGUCUCAGGCCAUGGAGGAACUGAAAGCGGAGAGAGAGAAGAAGAAAACGAGGACAGCGGAGCUCCUGGCGAAACGGCAGCCCCUGAAGACCAGCGAGGUGUACUCUGACGACGAGGAGGAGGAAGAGGAGGAGGAUGAAGACAAAUCCUCAGUAAAGAGCGAUCGCAGUUCACGCUCUUCAUCUUAUUCCGAAGACGAAGAGAAAGAGGAGACGCCACCAAAGUCUCAGCCCGUGUCACUGCCAGACGAGCUGAACCGCGUCCGCCUGUCCCGACACAAACUGGAGCGCUGGUGCCACAUGCCGUUCUUCCAGAAGACGGUCAGCGGCUGCUUCGUACGGAUCGGCAUCGGGAACAGCAGUAGCAAACCGGUUUACAGGGUGGCUGAAAUAGUUGACGUGGUAGAGACGGCUAAAGUGUACCAGUUGGGAACGACCCGGACGAACAAAGGACUACAGUUACAGCAUGGUGGUGAUACCCGAGUCUUCAGACUGGAGUUUGUGUCCAAUCAGGAGUUCACAGAAAACGAAUUCAUGAAGUGGAAGGAGGCGAUGAUCAUAGCCAGUAUGCAGGUUCCUACUCUAGAUGAGAUCAAUAAGAAGGAGCAGGCCAUCAAAGAGGCCUGUAACUACAAAUUCAACGACAAAGACAUCGAGGACAUUGUUAAAGAGAAAGACAGAUUCAGAAAGGCUCCUUCCAACUACGCCAUGAAGAAAACAUCACUACUCAAAGAUAAGGCCAUGGCUGAGGAGAGUGGAGAAGGAGACCGAGCCAAAGAGAUCCAGGACCAGCUGAAUGAGUUGGAGGAGAGGGCCGAGCAUCUGGACAGACAGAGAACCAAAAACAUCUCUGCCAUCAGCUACAUCAACCAGAGGAAUCGUAGCUGGAACAUCGUGGAGUCUGAGAAGGCUCUAGUCGCUGAAGGACAGAAUGCCAAGAUGCAGAUGGACCCGUUUACUAGACGGCAGUGCAAACCAACCAUGGUGUCCAAUGCCAGAGACCCUUCAGUCCAUGCAGCUAUCCUCCAACACCUCAAUGAGAAGUACGGAGAAGGGUCAGGCAAAGAGAUGGACUUGGAGUUCGAGAUGGGCAGGGGAGCAGGACAGGCUGCUCUGAAAGUCAUUGACCCGACUAAGAACACCAGCGACCUAUCAGAGGACCUCUUUAAAGUUCACGACUUUGACGUCAAGAUUGACCUACAGGUUCCCAACGCAGAAGCCAAGUCUCUGUCAGUGAGCGCCAACACACUGGCAGUGAAGGACGGUGCUCCACGUAGGUCUCUCAACCUGGAGGACUACAAGAAGAGGAGGGGCUUGAUCUAAAGAACUACAGGAAGAGGAAGGGCUUGGUCUAAUGAACUACAGAAAGAGGGGGCUUGGUCUAAUGAUCUAAUAGCCUAACUCCUCAGUCAGUCAGAACCACCUGCAUGUGUUGGUUGGCCAUUCUACCUGUGUGUGUGGGUGUGAGGUAAGUGUGUGUGGGGGUGAGGUAAGUGUGUGUGUGUGGGUGUGAGGUAAGUGUGUGUGUGUGGGUGUGAGGUAAGUGUGUGUGUGUGGGUGUGAGGUACGUGUGUGUGUGUGAGGUAAGUGUGUGUGAGGUGUGUGAGGUAAGUGUGUGUGAGAGGGGACAGUGUGUGUACACUAGAGACUCUCCAUUUUAAAACUGGUAGGAAAUAUUAAGAGAAGGCUACUUUUCUCUCUUUGAAGAAAGUUGUCCACCUUUUAAUUUUUAUGUGCAAGGUCGUACUUUUGAAUUGUUUUUUUCUUUUUUUCUGGUUAUUUCUACGUUUUUAAAUUUUUUUUAUAAAUAAAUCUUACGUUGGUUCUCCCUCAUACGGAUCUGAAGUUCACUCCUUUUGGUGUCCGGGGCACAUUGCUUGUGAAAGGACAUUGUCUUGUAAGACUUAGAUUUGUUGAAAUACUGAAUCUGGUUUUUCCCCAUCAACAACAGACUGGAUUGGUCAACCGCUAACGGUUGAGGUUUGGAGAAACUGAUUCUAGAUCUGUAGCUAGGGGGAAACUUCACCCCUUUUUAGCCUCUUAAGACUGUCACCCAAGUCUACAAAAAGAAACAGAUUAAUCUAUUUACAUGGAUCUUUUCUUUUAAUCUCUAGUUUUUUUCUGUUGCUUUUUGUUGCCUCCCAUUUUCAGAGCAGAUUCUCAGUGUUAUCGAUUGUGUACUUAGUCAGUUCCUGUAUUGAUGUGGCAUGCCAUAUGUAUAUGAUACAGUUUGGAGUGAGGCAGAAUAAAAGAGGGGUUUCGUA